rnacentral:rRNA from 1 species
UACGUAGGGGGCAAGCGUUGUCCGGAUUUAUUGGGCGUAAAGAGCGUGUAGGCGGCCAUGUAGGUCCGGUGUGAAAACUCGAGGCUUAACCUCGAGAUGUCAUCGGAAACCAUUUGGCUAGAGUCCGGAAGAGGAGAGUGGAAUUCCUGGUGUAGCGGUGAAAUGCGCAGAUAUCAGGAAGAACACCAAUGGCGAAAGCAGCUCUCUGGGACGGUACUGACGCUGAGACGCGAAAGCGUGGGGAGCGAACAGG